UACGUAGGGACCGAGCGUUGUCCGGAUUCAUUGGGCGUAAAGAGCUCGUAGGCGGCUGCUCAAGUCGAAUGUGAAAACUCGAGGCUCAACCUCGAGCCUGCAUUCGAUACUGGGCGGCUAGAGUCUGGUAGGGGGAUCUGGAAUUCCUGGUGUAGCGGUGGAAUGCGCAGAUAUCAGGAGGAACACCGAUGGCGAAGGCAGGUCUCUGGGCUGACACUGACGCUCAUGCACGAAAGCGUGGGGAGCAAACAGG
rnacentral:rRNA from 1 species